CACUGCUUAUUUCUUCGUUGCAUUAGGUGGGCGCCGCCCGGCCGGCCGCGCGAAGCGGCAGCGAGGCAGGGCGGCCGCCCGCUACCAAGGUCUCGGUUUUGCGUUGCCGUGCCCCAUCCCACUCCCAUAUAAGCUAGGUUGGCGUGCCGUGCGGGUGCGGGGCGUGCGACGGCGGUAGCGGCAGUGCGGAGGGUGCGGGCGUGAUUAAAGAGGACGGGCGUGGGAAGUAGCCGUGUUUGGCGGCGGGGAAACGUGACGGUCGGCGCGGCGGCUAGCUAGCGAAGAAGAAUCAACUGAGGCGCGACAGGACUACCGGGGCGGAGGGGGACGAGGACGACGCCGCCGCCGCCGCCGCUCCCGGCCGCCCGACCAGGACACCGACGUGCCGAGGCGGCUCUGCCCGCUCGUCUCGGCGCCGGUCUAGCGCGGGAUGAAGAGGCGGCGGGGGCGGGAGGCGGAGAGGAAGGGUUGGCGGGGGUAGCGGACGCAACCACUGAACCACGAGUUACGCACCAAGCCGUAGGGCCUCUAGGGGUAUUGGCGAUGGUGACAAUCUCUGCUCCUUCUCCAGGAUCUUCGACAACUCGCACAUGUGCUUUACAAUCUGUUUCUUCACCGACGGCCUUGUACAGGAUGCUUGUAAAAACAAACACCCAAUUCGGUUCCUCCGCGAGAUCGGUAUCGUUCACAAGACGAGAUGGGGUUCUGAAAUCCACCCACACGACAAAAGUCACCAAGUCAAGGAGACUCGUUUAGUAAACGACCGUCCCACUGUGGACUUCGGUCUUUCUGAGGCCAAAAUACCAAGGUACCCUACCGUCUGCCCCACCAUGAUAAGCUUCGGCCCGUACGGCCCACGCGUAAAGAGGUUCUCGAACCGUACUGGACGCUUAAGUUCUGAAUAGGCUGGGAACCCGUGAACGAACACCUACUUCUCGAGGUCAUAAAAGCUGCUACCUAUAAGCUAGCAGAUCCCUAAAGAGUUCCUUGACUUCGACGUUCUGGCAGCAGUAGUAGCAACAGCUUGGUGCUUCUAGAUGUGAUCGAUCCCACGAAGUGUUUGAAUGACCGUGGUAAAGAUCCACCGUGUAACGAUGGUGUAUGCACUGGACUUAGAGUCAAAUAUAACGGUGUGCUUACGAAACCUUCUGUACUAGGUUACCUUCAACAAAAAAUACUAUAGGUUCCUUUCCUAAUACUAUAUGAUAAUGUCAACUGAACGAGAAAAAGCACACGGACUAACUACUGAACGAGACAAUAAGCAACUACGAAGCCAAUUGACAGUGCACUUAGACUGUACCGGCCACCGAGUAGCUACUACAAGAGAAUAAGUACAAUAGAAACGUUAGCAGUUUUAGCCCAUUUAAAAACGAAGACUAACCGUCACUAAAAAGAUGGUGAGAGUCGUGUUCGCGUGUCCGACUGCUCCAUGAAGCCGGGCCGGGCCGGGUAUACUGGGUACUCAUCUGCGCAGGCGAAGGAGAAGAGGCAGCGGCGUCGGUAGCGGCGCCGGAGGGAGGAGCGGCGGAGCGAGGCGGCGGGGCGGAGGGGCCGGGGUACCGCCGGGCGUUGGCCUCGAAGCACGACACCGACGUGCCGGAGCCGCUGAGGCCGGGGCGGUUGCUCGGGUAGGCGUGGAAGAAGCGGCGCGGCCUCAAGGCGGUGUGGUUCACCCGCAAGGGGAGGCGGGGGUUGAGGGGGCAGAGGACGUUGUUACCGCGGCACUACGGUAGUACCAAGCUAUAGGUGCUCGAAGGAAACUCGGGACCAAGCGGCGUUCUACUCUCGCCACAAGAAUUCCGACACCUCUUACACGUGCGGUACUAGCUGUCCCUCCACCGGCCGCCGUAGGUAGGACUGUUGUAUAAACACACGCCCAAGUCAGUCCCUCCACGAGACUGUAAUCGUUCACAAAACGAAAUAGGCUUCUGCGAUCCACCACCACGGCACAAGUCACCGACCCAGGGAAAGCCAAGCAGCCAGUAACUCUCCUAAAGUGGGCUUCGUUCCUUCUGUGGAUAAGACACCAGCGUACCUUAUCGACUAGUUCACCAUAAUAAACUUCGGCCAGUCCGGCCGGGUGGUAAAAACGUUUCACGUCCGUAGUCAACACUUAAAUUCCGUAUGGGUUUAGAUCCGGUGAGCUAGCGUUUCCUUCUCGAUAGGAGAGAGCUCCGCACCUAGUUCCCAGCAGAGUUUCGGAACGUUCUAUUCGUUUCAAUUGCAGGAAGUCAAACCCGGCGGCAGUGCAAGGGGUGGUAUCGUUUUGACCGAUUACGUCGGCAUGACUUGGACAUAAGGGACCAUAUAACUACUUGAGCCUGCUAGGUUUGAUAAGAACUCUGAAACAGUACGUGAGUACGAGUACUUACAGAGGCGCCUACGUAGUGACUACAAGGUCCUUUAAUACAUGACGCCAUACAACAAAGAAAGAGGACAUCCAAACUGGACCAUGAUGGACCUAUGGCAACAUGUCCAUAGGAGAGACGAAUCUUAGACGGAUAGCUGUGCCAGGUAACACCGAAAGUCAAAGGUGUGAAAACUCGCAUAGAAUGUAGCCAACUUAUAGUAUGCCACAUACGUGCCGUACAUCAUCUUGAACAGGAAAUAACAAUCAUUCUAUGGUGACCCUAAGACUUGGCUGCAACCUACAUGGCUUUAGGUACGGGAAAGAUCAGUAAACACAUUUACCUCGAGUACAGAAACGAUGUUUCUCUUCUUGAAGUACAGGAGAAGGGACACCUACGCAAAAAAGGCCUGUUUUACAAAGAGGG
rnacentral:rRNA from 1 species